CCUACGGGUGGCAGCAGUGGGGAAUAUUGGGCAAUGGAGGCAACUCGGACCCAGCAACGCCGCGUGAAUGAUGAAGGUCUUCGGAUUGUAAAGUUCUUUUCUAAGGGAAGAGGAAAGUGACGGACCCUUAGAAAUAAGCCACGGCUACCUACGUGCAAGCAGCGGCGGGAAUAGGUAGGAGGCAAGCGUUAUCCGGAAUGACUGGGCGUAAAGGGAGCGUCGGUGGUUUGACAAGUUAGUAGCGCAACUCCGGAGCUCAACUUCGGAACUACUACUAAAACUGUUGGACUUGAGUGCAGGAGGGGCAAUCGGAAUUCCUAGUGUAGCGGUGGAAUGCGUAGAUAUUAGGAGGAACACCAGUGGCGAAGGCGGAUUGCUAGACUGUAUCUGACACUGAGGCACGAAAGCGUGGGGAGCAAACAGGAUUAGAUACCCUAGUAGUC
rnacentral:rRNA from 1 species